rfam:Schistosoma rodhaini strain Burundi genome assembly, scaffold: SROB_scaffold0002154
GUCCAGCUGACGAGUCUCAAAUAGGUCGAAAUAUACGUCUUGGAU